CUACGGGCGGCUGCAGUUAGGAAUAAUCUACAAUGCGCGCAAGCGUGAUAGUUUGAGCCAGAGUGUUUUCCAAAUUGGAAGACUUUUGUGAAAUCUAAAAAGUUUUACAAAUAAGGACUGGGUAAGACUAGUGCCAGCCGCCGCGGUAAUACUAGCGGUCCAAGUCGCAGCCAUUUUUAUUGGGUCUAAAACAUCCGUAGCUUGCUUAAUAAGUUCCUUGUGAAAUCCUGUGUCUCAAGCGCAGGGCGCGCAAGGAGUACUAUUAAGCUAGAGACUGGUAGGCGUAGGAAGUACGUUUAAAGUAGCGGUAAAAUGUGUUAAUCUUGAACGGACUCACAACAGCGAAGGCAUCCUACGAGGACAGUUCUGACAGUAAGGGAUGAAAGCUAGGGGCGUAAAAAGGAUUAGAUACCCCUGUAGUC
rnacentral:rRNA from 1 species